AGUGAACGCUGGCGGUAGGCCUAACACAUGCAAGUCGAACGGCAGCACAGUAAGAGCUUGCUCUUACGGGUGGCGAGUGGCGGACGGGUGAGGAAUACAUCUGAAUCUACUUUUUCGUGGGGGAUAACGUAGGGAAACUUACGCUAAUACCGCAUACGACCUACGGGUGAAAGCAGGGGAUCUUCGGACCUUGCGCGAUUGAAUGAGCCGAUGUCGGAUUAGCUAGUUGGCGGGGUAAAGGCCCACCAAGGCGACGAUCCGUAGCUGGUCUGAGAGGAUGAUCAGCCACACUGGAACUGAGACACGGUCCAGACUCCUACGGGAGGCAGCAGUGGGGAAUAUUGGACAAUGGGCGAAAGCCUGAUCCAGCCAUACCGCGUGGGUGAAGAAGGCCUUCGGGUUGUAAAGCCCUUUUGUUGGGAAAGAAAAGCAGCAGGUUAAUACCCCGCUGUUCUGACGGUACCCAAAGAAUAAGCACCGGCUAACUUCGUG
rnacentral:rRNA from 1 species